UGAUCGCAGAUAUGAUGUUUACCUCAGGAGUUCCUGCUUCACCUCGAUGGUCAGUGGUGGCCAGUAUCAGUGGCAUCUCAUCCCAGGGUACAGGCAGACCUUGGUGAGGACUUGAAUCCGGGCUUAACUCUGUGACUGCUAUUGAUAUUUUGUAAUAAGCUGAAGCAGGAUGAGCAGCUCAGCAUGUGCCGCUCCCGUCAGGCUCAGAGCACAUAAGGUGAGGAUUCCCUCGGUGCUGUUCUGUGAUCAGACCAACCCACACUGCAACAUCACAUCAAGGUGUGCCCAAACUUUUGGAAUUGGGCUGCAAACAGCUUUGGAAAAGGAUCAGUAGUCUCACAGUGAAUUGGGAUGUGAGUCCUCUGGUGGAGAG
ensembl:lncRNA